GCAACUUCAGCCCACCUUCCUGCCUCCUUGUUUGCUGGGAAUUACCAGUUAGCCAUCCUCCAGAUUAAAAGUUGAAGUUAUUCUGAGAAAAAAAUACACACACAGGAUUGAAAGUAAG
rnacentral:lncRNA from 1 species